rnacentral:rRNA from 1 species
CUUUUAUGGAGAGUUUGAUCUUGGCUCAGGACGAACGCUGGCGGCGUGCCUAAUACAUGCAAGUCGAGCGCGGGAAGCAGACGGACCCCUUCGGGGGGAAGUUUGUGGAACGAGCGGCGGACGGGUGAGUAACACGUGGGCAACCUACCUGUAAGACUGGGAUAACCCCGGGAAACCGGGGCUAAUAC